rnacentral:rRNA from 1 species
UGUCAAGAAAAGUCUCUAUCGAGGUUAAAGGUACCCGUACCGCCAACCGACACAGGUGGGUGAGGAGAGUAUCCUAAGGCCAGCGAGAGAACUGUUGUUAAGGAACUCGGCAAAAUGACCCCGUAACGUAGGGAUAAGGGGUGCCACCAUCAGGUGGCCGCAGAGAAUAGGCCCAAGCGACUGUUUACCAAAAACAUAGGUUUCUGCUAAGUCGCAAGACGAUGUAUAGGAGCUGACGCCUGCCCGGUGCUGGAAGGUUAAGGGGAUCUGUUAGAGCAA